GACGAAUGCUGGCUGCGUGCUUAACACAUGCAAGUCGAACGGUAAAAGGGAGCUUGCUCCCUGGAUCAGUGGCGAACGGGUGAGUAACACGUGGGCAACCUGCCCCUCACUCUGGGAUAACUCCGGGAAACCGGGGCUAAUACCGGAUACGACCUGGUGCGACAUCGCACCGGGUGGAAAGAACUUCGGUGAGGGAUGGGCCCGCGGCCUAUCAGCUUGUUGGUGGGGUAACGGCCCACCAAGGCGACGACGGGUAGCCGGCCUGAGAGGGCGACCGGCCACACUGGGACUGAGACACGGCCCAGACUCCUACGGGAGGCAGCAGUGGGGAAUAUUGCGCAAUGGGCGAAAGCCUGACGCAGCGGCGCAGCGUGAGGGACGAAGGCCUUCGGGUUGUAAACCUCUUUCAGCGGGGACGAAGCGAAAGUGACGGUACCCGCAGAAGAAGCACCGGCUAACUACGUGCCAGCCGCCGCCGUAACAC
rnacentral:rRNA from 1 species